rnacentral:rRNA from 1 species
AUUGAACGCUGGCGGCGUGCUUAACACAUGCAAGUCGAACGGAAAGGCCUCAGCUUGCUGGGGUACUCGAGUGGCGAACGGGUGAGUAACACGUGGGUGAUCUGCCCUGCACUUUGGGAUAAGCUUGGGAAACUGGGUCUAAUACCGAAUAUGACCACUUCUUGGAUGUUGUGGUGGAAAGCUUUUGCGGUGUGGGAUGAGCCUGCGGCCUAUCAGCUUGUUGGUGGGGUAAUGGCCUACCAAGGCGGCGACGGGUAUCCGGCCUGAGAGGGUAUACGGACACAUUGGGACUGAGAUACGGCCCAGACUCCUACGGGAGGCAGCAGUGGGGAAUAUUGCACAAUGGGCGCAAGCCUGAUGCAGCGACGCCGCGUGGGGGAUGAAGGCCUUCGGGUUGUAAACUCCUUUCGCUAUCGACGAAGCCACUUGUGGUGACGGUAGGUAGAUAAGAAGCACCGGCUAACUACGUGCCAGCCGCCGCAGUAA